GCCAGAGCCAUAUCUCUGGUUCUCGCCUGGUUUCCCCCUUAAGCUAAGCAGCGUUGAUCCUGGCCAAUACCUGGAUGGGAGAUCUUCUAGGGAAAACUAAGGUUGCUGCUGGAA
rnacentral:rRNA from 1 species